rnacentral:tRNA from 1 species
AGGCUUAGCCGAACCGAAAACUGCAAAUUUUUAGUUGAAUUUUUUCCUGAGCCUACUCCUA